rnacentral:rRNA from 1 species
UGGAUAACGUUCCCGUUGGUCUGGAAUAACCUGCCGAAAGGCGGGCUAAUACCAGGUAAGUUUCCUUGGGAUUCGUCUCGGGGAAAGAAAGCAGGGCAACUUGCGCCGACGGAUCGGUCCGCGUCCCAUCAGCUUGUUGGUGAGGUAACGGCUCACCAAGGCAACGACGGGUAGCUGGUCUGAGAGGAUGAUCAGCCACACUGGGACUGAGACACGGCCCAGACUCCGUACGGGGAGCAGNAGG